rnacentral:rRNA from 1 species
AUUGAACGCUGGCGGCAGGCCUAACACAUGCAAGUCGAACGAGUGGCGGACGGGUGCGUAAUGUCUGGGAAACUGCCUGAUGGAGGGGGAUAACUACUGGAAACGGUAGCUAAUACCGCAUACCAUCGGUUGGGCCCAGAUGGGAUUAGCUAGGAGGUGGGGUAAAGGCUCACCUAGGCGACGAUCCCUAGCUGGUCUGAGAGGACGACGAGCCACACGGGAACGGAGACACGGUCCAGACUCCAACGGAAGGCAGCAGUGGGGAAUAUUGCACAAUGGGCGCAAGCCUGAUGCAGCCAUGCCGCGUGUAUGAAGAAGGCCUUCGGGUUGUAAAGUACUUUCAGCGGGGAGGCGUUACCCACAGAAGAAGCACCGGCUAACUCCGUGCCAGCAGCCGCGGUAAUUC